rnacentral:rRNA from 1 species
CCUACGGGUGGCAGCAGUGGGGAAUCUUGCACAAUGGGCGAAAGUCUGAUGCAGCAACGCCGCGUGAGUGAUGAAGGUUUUCGGCUCGUAAACCUCUGUCAGUAGGGAAGAACGGUCGAUGUACUAACUAGCAGUGAAUUGACGGUAAUUGCUAAGAAAGUAACGGCUAACUCCGUGCCAGCAGCCGCGGUAAUACGGAGGUUGCGAGCGUUAACCGGAUUUAGUGGGCGUAAAGCGAGUGUAGGCGGUACGACAAGUCUGGUGUGAAAGCCCUGGGCGCAACCUGAGAACUGCAUUUGAAACUGUCAAACUUGAGUGUAGGAGAGGAGAGUGGAAUUCCAGGUGUAGCGGUGGAAUGCGUAGAUAUCUGGAAGAACACCAGUGGCGAAGGCGGCUAUCUGGCACGUAACUGACGCUGAGGAGCGAAAGCGUGGGUAGCGAACAGGAUUAGAUACCCGGGUAGUC